rnacentral:lncRNA from 1 species
AAUUCAUAGACUUUCUUGGGCUAUGAAAAUGAGACCCAUUGGUUCCUGCUUUAUUCUGGUUAUCAUGUGCGGCCUUUUGGGUAUUGCUGCUGCCCUCCAACUUGGAGAAAAGAGAGUGGCAAGAAGGGAUAGCAAUGCGGGUGCUGAUAACCCUGCAACUUGUCCGGACGAGAACUUCAAUGUGGAGACUCUGGAAUGCAAAGACGCGCCACCAGCAUCGGAGCGUCAAGUCUUAACUCCAUCAGGACCCCCGCCACACGGAUGGGGAGGAGGAGGUAGGAGAAAGAAUGGAGGCAAAAGAAAGGAUAGAGACGGGGAGAGAAUGGAGGGGAGAGCAAGAAAAGGAGACGACAUGGAAAAAAUAAGAGUAAUUAAACAUUUUUACAAAAAUGUUUUAAAAUGUUUAUGUUAAUGUUUUAAAUGUUUAUAAAUGUUUUAUAUAAUAAGGCAACCGCAAAGAAUUAACGGGCAUGGAGGACAAGGCGCCUAAGUGCAGUUGUUGAAAAAAUUGAGAUUUUCAUGAACUCAAACGAAACUAGUUUGAAAGUUUAUUUUGCGGAUAAUUCUCGAGUAAAAACCAACUUUUUAAACUUUUUUCCGCCUUGAAAGUCCAUGUAAUUUUGAAACUUUAAACACGCAUUUCUCGAAAUAGCAAAAACUGCACUUAUGCACUUCGUCCUCCAAACCCUUAAUUAUAGUCGCAUAUUAUAUAUAGCAGCUAUAUAGGCUGUAUAUAGUCAGCUAUAUACUAUAUAGUCUAUUUAUAGCAUAUAUUGUCGUUCAUUCGUUAAACAUGUCCUUUUCUUAGGGGACGCCAUUUAGUUUUUACAUUAUAAUUAAGGUAGGUUCGAGAAGAAUUUUAACACAUCAUCAUACAAAGGACACUUUUUGCAACCCUUGAGUAAAAUUUAGGGAUGAAACUUAAGAAGUGGCCACCUUUCAAAGGGGUUACAGUUAUUCACCACUACAAAAAAUAGUUAUUCACCACUACAAAAAUACAAAACACAAUAGAAAAUAUACUGCAGAGGCAGAGUCGUGUAAAUUUUAAGAAAGGUUUGCACCUACAUUAAAGUUGACCAAAAAAUUGAUUUUUGGGGCAGAAUUUAAAAAAUUGUAGACGUCAAAACGAAGAAUUGUUAAAGUAUGGAAGAUCUGUUGACGGCCUGAGAAAACAUUUUUUUUCUAACGUCCACACCAUCAUUAAUAGUGCGAAUUUUGGCUUGAAAUUUUGACCUAAUGUCCUUGAGAUGAUUAAAAA